rnacentral:rRNA from 1 species
CCGCCCGGGGGGCCCGCCCCGGGCGGGGCGGGGGCACGGGGGAUUAGAUACCCGUGUAGUCCCAGCUGUAAACUAUGCUCGCUAGGUGUCAGGGACGGUGCGACCGUUUUUGGUGCCGCAGGGAAGCCGUGAAGCGAGCCACCUGGGAAGUACGGUCGCAAGGCUGAAACUUAAAGGAAUUGGCGGGGGAGCACUCACAACGGGUGGAGCCUGCGGUUUAAUUGGACUCAACGCCGGAACAAUCUCUACCGGGGGCGACAGCAAUAUGUAUGUCAAGCAUAGAUUCCGU